UUGAGACACACCGCCGAGACCGUGUCCGCCCCGCGAGCACAGAGCCUCGCCUUCGCCGCUCCGCCGCCCGUUCACACCCGCCGCCAGCUCACCAUGGAUGAUGAUAUCGCCGCGCUCGUUGUCGACAACGGUUCCGGCAUGUGCAAAGCCGGCUUCGCGGGCGACGAUGCCCCCCGGGCCGUCUUCCCCUCCAUCGUGGGGCGCCCCAGGCACCAGGGCGUGAUGGUGGGCAUGGGUCAGAAGGAUUCAUAUGUGGGCGACGAGGCCCAGAGCAAGAGAGGCAUCCUCACCCUGAAGUACCCCAUCGAGCACGGCAUCGUCACCAACUGUGACGAUAUGGAGAAGAUCUGGCACCACACCUUCUACAAUGAGCUGCGUGUGGCUCCUGAGGAGCACCCCGUGCUGCUGACCGAGGCCCCCCUGAACCCCAAGGCCAACCGCGAGAAGAUGACUCAGAUCAUGUUUGAGACCUUCAACACCCCAGCCAUGUACGUGGCCAUCCAGGCUGUGCUGUCCCUGUACGCCUCUGGCUGUACCACUGGCAUCGUGAUGGACUCCGGUGACGGGGUCACCCACACUGUGCCCAUCUACGAGGGGUAUGCCCUCCCCCACGCCAUCCUGCGUCUGGACCUGGCUGGCCCCCCUGGACUUCGAGCAGGAGAUGGCCACGGCGGCUUCCAGCUCCUCCCUGGAGAAGAGCUACGAGCUGCCCGAUGGCCAGGUCAUCACCAUUGGCAACGAGCGGUUCUGCUGCCCUGAGGCUCUCUUCCAGCCUUCCUUUCUGGGCAUGGAGUCCUGUGGCAUCCAUGAAACUACCUUCAACUCCAUCAUGAAGUGUGACGUGGACAUCCGUAAAGACCUGUACGCCAACACAGUGCUGUCUGGUGGCACCACCAUGUACCCUGGCAUUGCCGACAGGAUGCAGAAGGAGAUUACUGCCCUGGCGCCCAGCACGAUGAAGAUCAAGAUCAUUGCUCCUCCUGAGCGCAAGUACUCUGUGUGGAUCGGCGGCUCCAUCCUGACCUCGCUGUCCACCUUCCAGCAGAUGUGGAUCAGCAAGCAGGAGUAUGACGAGUCUGGCCCCUCCAUCCUCCACCGCAAAUGCUUCUAGGCGGACUGUGACUUAGUUGCGUUACACCCUUUCUUGACAAAACCUAACUUGCGCAGAAAACAAGAUGAGAUUGGCAUGGCUUUAUUUGUUUUUUUGUUUUGUUUUGUUUUGUUUUGUUUUGUUUGGCUUGACUCAGGAUUUAAAAACUGGAACGGUGAAGGUGACAGCAGUCGGUUGGAGCGAGCAUCCCCCAAAGUUCUACAAUGUGGCCGAGGACUUUGAUUGUACAUUGUUCUUUUUUUUAAUAGUCAUUCCAAAUAUGAGAUGCAUUGUUACAGGAAGUCCCUCGCCCUCCUAAAAGCUACCCCACUUCUCUCUAAGGAGAAUGGCUCAGUCCUCUCCCGAGUCCACACAGGGGAGGUGAUAGCAUUGCUUUCGUGUAAAUUAUGUAAUGCAAAAUUUUUUUAAUCUUCGCCUUAAUACUUUUUUAUUUUGUUUUAUUUUGAAUGAUGAGCCUUCAUGCCCCCCCUUUUUUGUCCCCCAACUUGAGAUGUCUGAAGGCUUUUGGUCUCCCUGGGAGUGGGUGGAGGCAGCCAGGGCUUACCUGUACACUGACUUGAGACCAGUUGAAUAAAAGUGCACACCUUAAAAAAAAAAAAAAAAAAAAAAA